CAUCCUUUGUAGAAACUGCAAUGUUUACAUUGCAGGAAUACCCCUAGUGGCUGUCUUCCUAAGUGAAAACUCUGUCCUAGAACCAAAGGGUGCCGACAGUAGCAUUUAAAUGGAGGUGUGUGCAGUAUAAGGCUGUGAAUUCCUAGUUCUAAAACACUGAUUUUCUAUUAGAAGUAUUACAGCAGAGUGCAUGUGGACGUCUUUGAAGGUGGAGUGGAUGGCUGCAGCAGAAGAGACAG